UUUUUUCACAUUUCUCGGUGGGGUUGGAGGUUGUAGAAUAGACAAUAAUCCGGUGCUCUAGUGUAAGUUUGGUGGCCAUGGUAGUAUAACAGAUCUACAUAGUUUGGCAAAGGAGUUCGUGCUAAUUUCAACCUCUUUUUUCAUAUGCGUGCGUGUUAUAUUAAAAGUACGUCAUUAACAAUCAUCGGGUAGCCUUUCAGAGCAUUUCGCCUUUAUGAUUAAUUUGAUAGCGGCCCGCUCAGCAAUAACGGCUUAGGGACCAAGAGACCCUGGGGCAAGGAUGCUUGUCUGGUAGAUCUUUAAUGCUUUGACCGUCUCUGUUCUUCCUUUAAUCUAAAGAGUUAGGUAGAUAGACGUCAAAAAUUUAAAAAACUACAUUUCUUUUGGUACGUUUUGCUAUGUGCUUUUGCUUUAUAAACAACACAAAAUGGCUCAAUGUUGCUUAGGUUUCUUUAUUGUACUGAAUUCACUGUCUCCUAAUUGUUGCUUGCGGACUUUUUACUUAGAAGUAUUUGCUUUCUUCGUAUGGCUUAGGCUUGCGCAUCACUCGACAUAAAAUUUUAGUUUAAUAUGAAAAACGCUACUGCACUUUUUCAUUUACUCACUUCACACCGGACUGUGUUUUACCAGGUUCUUCGUUUUCUGACUGUCUUUCAAAGGGUUUUUUGCCUCUUUAAUAUGGGGAAUGACGGCGAUACCCUAUAACAUCGCUAAAGUUCCACCAUUGAAGGUCGCAUAAAUUACCGUAUGACGUUUUGCAUAAUCUGGCCAUAUGUUGGCUAAAGUAUUUUUAGCCCGUCCUUUCUCAUAUCAAGAAGGCAAAAUACCCUGGGGACGGGGGUGGAGUGUUGAUUAUAAAACAUUGUUUAUGAAAAUUAUUAUUUAAGAGCAAGUUAGUUAAAAUUAAAUAUACUGUUAAUGUUUAACCUUUUUCACAGCACUCUCUUCGACCAAAACUUGACGUCAUAAAGGGUACGCAUGUCUUGCGUAUUGCCAGUAAAUGGGUGUUUUAUGGAUUAAUUGGCUGCUCAGAACUACUUUUCCAUGUGUUCGCAUUAAUUGCUAACGUGGAUUAGUCUCAAGCGGUCUCAACUGUUACCACAAUUUCCAACUAAUUCGUCUAAUUCAGCGUCUGAGUUUUAAUACUCUACAAAUUCAUCAUUAGCCUAUCGCAUUCUUAUGAAGUCUUCACAGAUAAUAAGUGGUUUAUAAUAACGCCGUAGAGGAGUGUGGCGUAUUACAAAUUAUGCAAGAAUGACGUAGAUUGGAAGUUGAACGUACAAAGAAAAAGUGGAGUGUAGUAAAGAUAUUAGAGGGUAUGACUUUUUUAUUAAGCAGUUAAGUCUGAUGAACAGUUUAUUACGAAGCAGCGCGUGAAUGUUUGUACUUGUUCUUUAAAUCGGGAAGAUAAAGAAAUGAUUUAAUCUCCGUCCCUAGGGCUCUAUCGCUUUUUGAUUUCAAUAUCAAAACAAAUCAAAAAGGCUCUUUCAAAUAUUUACUAAACCAAUCAACGGAUCAACUGUGAUAGCGUUGUAUUUCUUAACCAGCACGUAUUAUACUCUUCCUUGUUCAUAAAAAUUACUACAGACAAUUAUUUACGAAUCCCAACGUGGUACACAAAAACAAAGAUAACUUAGUGAGUUUUCAAGUUGUGGUAAAUUAGGUGUAAAAUUCCCGUACAAAAACCGAUCGUACCUGAGACUAAAGGAACCUAAGAUUUGAACGUGUUAAUGCACCAGUAUACAUUAAUAGGUUAACCCAGUUUGUGUCGAGGUUUGUGGAAGAUAUAAACAGAGGUAGAGGGUGCUUGACAAGUCUCGUUCUCAUACUCAAAUGGAAUCAAACUUCGUACAAAAUAGUAGCAAUAACUUUUUGCUAAUGUCAGCACAUUUUUGUGACGUCAUCGGAAGUUUAAAAUUUGUCAAAAAUACCAAUGUCUAUUUACUUCAACCUCGUUCUCGGGGAAUUUUGCCUUGUUGAUAAGUUGAUAACGGCUCAGGGCCACAAGACCCUGGGGACGAGGUUGUAUUUAUUUUAGCUUUCGAAUGAAAUCCAACAUUGCCUUUAAAAUUUUUUGUAGCCAAAAAAAUUAUGUAACAUUAUUCAAAUUAUUCGACUAAACGAAAUCGGCCACAAACGAUCGGAUAAAAUCAAAAAUAUUCUAAAAUUAUUCAAUGACAUCAUCUAUGGUCAGGUUAAUCACGCGUCACAACUUUAUUCCCCUUGAUAAAGCUAUGUAUUUUAUUUAAUUACAAAAAUUAGACUGGGUAUUUCACUUGUUGUAAACGAUCUUUUAAGAUUACAAAUCCAGUAUUCGGCGCUUAAUUUAAAUACGGAAUAACUCUUUUUGUUUUUUCCUUAGCUUAUCUGUUUAAAGCUAUAUACCUAAAUACCAUCAUUUUCGUUUCCAUAAAGCUCUUUGAGAUAAAACCUUGUAGGUAGCUCUGGAUUAUUUUCAUCACUUCAUUAUUUUUUCCGUAAAUUUUUAUCGCCCUUCCUUAAAAUGCCUAAAUUCUAAACACUUAGGAAAUAACAAAAAUAUUUUUCAAGCUAACCCUGAACGUUGUCAAAGUCAAAAACAGGAUUGGUACUCAAGUUAACGCAUUUUUGAUAUUCACGAAAUAGGGCCCGGGAAGCUCAAUCAUGACGAUACGAUCACUACACUUUACCUGAUGAAUUUUUGUUGUCCUUUUUUUGUGCAUGUUGACUGCUUCACUUAAGUGCGAGAGAAAUUAGAAAUUCCACAAUGUAACAUCUGGCGUGCAACACCAAAAAAGCUUUCAUAUGACAUUCCAACAUCUCCCAAUUGGCUGUGAUAGAGCUUCAUACAUCAUGAACAGUGCUGGCAAAAUGUAUUAAAAUAAUAAUUGCUCAUCUGUCCACUUUGCUGCAGGUGAACCUGCGUCAGAUCAUGUUUUGAAGAUUCAAUCCCGAACAUAAAAUAUCGCAAAUUAUUCCACAAGCAGUGAUUUAUUAUUAAUAAAUUAUUAAUAAAGAGAUAAUCAUAAACAUUGAUGGAAAACACAAAAUGAAUUUUUGCAAAUGGAUAACACAUUUUUUCUUACCAAAUUUGCACUGUUCCGACCCAUAUUGUCCGGUCGACCCAUGUUGUCCGAAGAACGGCAACAACCCAUAUUGUCCGAAUCCAACCCAUAUUAUCGGGAUAAGUAAAAUACACUUAUCGCUUGAUUAUUUUUCAGAAAAUUAAUCUUUUGUUAAUGCGGAUUGUUGACACCCUGGGUAAGACCUUUCAACAAAACUUACAAGGUAACGUAAGUCACGUCCUCAUCUAAACCUUUUUGGACAACAUGGGCAGGCAUAUAACCUCUACCUACGUUUUCCUGAACCUUCUUGGAUCAUAUGGGUUGGGGUGUCUACUGAACUUCGAAACUUUAAAAACCUGCAUAUCAGACUUGGUGAUCUUAAAAACAUUAAAUAUCCACAUUCUCCAAAAGAAAAGAUAACAAAUGACAAAGACAAAAAAGACAUGGCUGUACACACAGAAGACGUUUUCAAGAGAAAAAUUCACGCCAGUACUCCUUCCUCUUUGCAUUUUCUGAAAUAAAAAAAUCAACAAUA